CCGAGUUUACAACUCCCAAACCCCAAUGUGAACCUACCAUUCUGUUGCCUCGGCGGGAUCGCCCCGGGAGAGCGGCCCUUAGCGGCCAGCACCGGACCCAGGCGCCCGCCGGCGGACCCCAAAACUCUAGUCUUUACGAUGUAUUUCUGACUAGGCCCUCGCGGCCGAAAAACACAAUGAAUCA
rnacentral:misc_RNA from 1 species